rnacentral:rRNA from 1 species
GGCGAACGCUGGCGGCGCGCUUAACACAUGCAAGUCGAGCGAGAACCAGUCCUGGACGUGGGACGAGCGGCGAACGGGUGAGUAACACGUGGGUAAUCUGCCCUCGAUUCUGGGAUAGCCCGGGGAAACCCGGAGUUAAUACCGGAUAGCCUCUCGAGCUUUCGAGCUUGUGAGAAAAGGUAGCUUCGGCCUCCGAUCGAGGAUGAGCCCGCGGCGGAUUAGCUUGUUGGUGGGGUAANGGCCUACCAAGGCGACGAUCCGUAGCUGGUCUGAGAGGACGAUCAGCCACACUGGGACUGAGACACGGCCCAGACUCCUACGGGAGGCAGCAGUGGGGAAUCUUGCGCAAUGGGCGAAAGCCUGACGCAGCGACGCCGCGUGGGGGAA